GACGUAGGGCGCGAGCGUUGUCCGGAUUUAUUGGGCGUAAAGAGCUCGUAGGCGGCUUGUCGCGUCGACUGUGAAAAUCCCGCGGCUCAACCGCGGGUCUGCAGUCGAUACGGGCAGGCUAGAGUUCGGUAGGGGAGACUGGAAUUCCUGGUGUAGCGGUGAAAUGCGCAGAUAUCAGGAGGAACACCGGUGGCGAAGGCGGGUCUCUGGGCCGAUACUGACGCUGAGGAGCGAAAGCGUGGGGGAGCGAACAGG
rnacentral:rRNA from 1 species